UACGGGGGGGGCAAGCGUUGUUCGGAAUUACUGGGCGUAAAGGGCGCGUAGGUGGCCUUCUAAGUUGAACGUGAAAUCCCUGGGCUCAACCCAGGAACUGCGUCCAAGACUGGGAGGCUUGAAUCCGGGAGAGGGAUGCGGAAUUCCAGGUGUAGCGGUGAAAUGCGUAGAUAUCUGGAGGAACACCGGUGGCGAAGGCGGCAUCCUGGACCGGUAUUGACGCUGAGGAGCGAAAGCGUGGGGAGCGAACAGG
rnacentral:rRNA from 1 species